CAAUAGCGUAUAUUAAAGUUGUUGCAGUUAGAACGCUCGUAGUCGGAUUUCGGGGCGGGCCGACCGGUCUGCCGAUGGGUACGCACUGGUCGGCGCGUCCUUCCUUCCGGAGACCGUGCCUACUCUUAACUGAGCGGGGGCGGGAGACGGAACGUUUACUUUGAAAAAAUCAGAGUGUUUCAAGCAGGCAGUGCGCUCUUGCAUGGAUUAGCAUGGGAUAAUGAAAUAGGACUUUGGUGCUAUUUUGUUGGUUUCGAACACCGAAGUAAUGAUUAAAAGGGACAGUCAGGGGCACUCGUAUUCCGCCGAGAGAGGUGAAAUUCUCAGACCAGCGGAAGACGAACCACUGCGAAAGCAUUUGCCAGGGAUGUUUNCACUGG
rnacentral:rRNA from 1 species